rnacentral:rRNA from 1 species
CCCUUAGAUGUUCUGGGCUGCACGCGCGCUACACUGACGCACGCAACAGGUGCCUGCUCCGAGAGGACUGGGUAAUCAUUUGAGUGUGCGUCGUGAUGGGGAUAGAAUAUUGUAAUUAUUACUCUUCAACGAGGAAUUCCUAGUAAGCGCCAGUCAGCAGCUUGCGCUGAUUACGUCCCUGCCCUUUGUACACACCGCCCGUCGCCCCUACCGAUGGGUGAUCCGGUGAAUGAUUCGGACUUCAGCGGCUCCCCUGGGGUGCGCCGGAGAAAGUUUUGUGAACCUUAUCACUUGGAGGAAGGAGAAGUCGUAACA